rnacentral:rRNA from 1 species
GGGCCCGCACAAGCGGAGGAACAUGUGGUUUAAUUCGAUGAUACGCGAGGAACCUUACCUGGGCUUAAAUGUAGGCUGCAUGGAGUGGAAACAUUCCUUCCCUUCGGGGCUGCUUACAAGGUGCUGCAUGGUUGUCGUCAGCUCGUGCCGUGAGGUGUCGGGUUAAGUCCCAUAACGAGCGCAACCCUUACCGUUAGUUGCCAUCAGGUAAAGCUGGGGACUCUGGCGGGACUGCCACCGUAAGGUGAGAGGAAGGUGGGGAUGACGUCAAAUCAGCACGGCCCUUAUGUCCAGGGCUACACACGUGUUACAAUGGCCGGUACAAAGGGCAGCUACCCCGCGAGGGGAUGCGAAUCUUCAAAGCCGGUCUCAGUUCGGAUUGGAGUCUGCAAUUCGACUCCAUGAAGUUGGAUUCGCUAGUAAUCGCGCAUCAGCCAUGGCGCGGUGAAUACGUUCCCGGGCCUU